AUUGAACGCUGGCGGCAGGCCUAACACAUGCAAGUCGAGCGGAUGAGUGGAGCUUGCUCCAUGAUUCAGCGGCGGACGGGUGAGUAAUGCCUAGGAAUCUGCCUGGUAGUGGGGGACAACGUUUCGAAAGGAACGCUAAUACCGCAUACGUCCUACGGGAGAAAGCAGGGGACCUUCGGGCCUUGCGCUAUCAGAUGAGCCUAGGUGGGAUUAGCUAGUUGGUGAGGUAAAGGCUCACCAAGGCGACGAUCCGUAACUGGUCUGAGAGGAUGAUCAGUCACACUGGAACUGAGACACGGUCCAGACUCCUACGGGAGGCAGCAGUGGGGAAUAUUGGACAAUGGGCGAAAGCCUGAUCCAGCCAUGCCGCGUGUGUGAAGAAGGUCUUCGGAUUGUAAAGCACUUUAAGUUGGGAAGAAGGGCAGUAAGUUAAUACCUUGCUGUUUUGACGUUACCGACAGAAUAAGCACCGGCUAACUUCGUGCCAGCAGCCGCGGUAAAAC
rnacentral:rRNA from 1 species